rnacentral:rRNA from 1 species
UACGUAGGUGGCAAGCGUUGUCCGGAAUUAUUGGGCGUAAAGCGCGCGCAGGCGGUCUCUUAAGUCUGAUGUGAAAGCCCACGGCUCAACCGUGGAGGGUCAUUGGAAACUGGGGGACUUGAGUACAGAAGAGGAAAGCGGAAUUCCACGUGUAGCGGUGAAAUGCGUAGAGAUGUGGAGGAACACCAGUGGCGAAGGCGGCUUUCUGGUCUGUAACUGACGCUGAGGCGCGAAAGCGUGGGGAGCAAACAGG